rnacentral:rRNA from 1 species
AUUGAACGCUGGCGGCAGGCCUAACACAUGCAAGUCGAACGAGUGGCGGACGGGUGAGUAAUGUCUGGGAAACUGCCUGAUGGAGGGGGAUAACUACUGGAAACGGUAGCUAAUACCGCAUACCAUCGGAUGUGCCCAUAUGGGAUUAGCUAGUAGUGGGGGUAAAGGCUCACCUAGGCGACGAUCCCUAGCUGGUCUGCAAGGAUGACCAGCCACACUAGAACUGAGACACGGACCAGACGCAUACGGGAGGCAGCAUGAGGGAAUAUUGCACAAUGGGCGAAAGCCUGAUGCAGCCAUGCCGCGUGUAUGACAAAGGCCUUCGGGUUGUAAAGUACUUUCAGCGGAGAGGCGUUACCCGCAGAAGAAGCACCGGCUAACUCCGUGCAAGCAGCCGCGGUAAUAC